UACGUAGGUGGCAAGCGUUACUCGGAAUCACUAGGCGUAAAGCGCAGGUAGGAGGCUUGGUAAGUCUGUUGUGAAAGCUCCCGGCUUAACUGGGAGAGGUCAACGGAAACUACUAGGCUAGAGUGCGGUAGAGGUAGCUGGAAUUCCCGGUGUAGCGGUGAAAUGCGUAGAUAUCGGAAGGAACGCCGGUGGCGAAAGCGACGUGCUGGACCCCCCCUGACGCUGAGGCGCGAAAGCCAGGGAAGCGAACGGG
rnacentral:rRNA from 1 species